AUUCAGUUUAGGGUUUAAAACCCUAAUGCUGACUAACGGAAAAGUUCAGUUUAGGGUUUAAAACCCUAAUACUGACUGAAUGGAAAAGAGUUCAGUUUAGGGUUUAAAACCCUAAUGCUAACCAAAGGAAAAAGUUUAAUUUAGGGUUUAAAACCCUAAUGCUGACUAAAGGAAAAAGUUCAGUUUAGGGUUUAAAACCCUAAUGCUGACUAAAGGAAAAGUUCAGUUUAGGGUUUAAAACCCUAAUGCUGACUGAAUGGAAAAAGUUCAGUUUAGGGUUUAAAACCCUAAUGCUGACUGAAUGGAAAAAUUUCAGUUUAGGGUUUAAAACCCUAAUACUGACUGAAUGGAAAAGUUCAGUUUAGGGUUUAAAACCCUAAUCCUGACUGGCUGGAAAAGUUCAGUUUAGGGUUUAAAACCCUAAUACUGACUGAAAGGAAAAGUUCAGUUUAGGGUGUAAAACCCUAAUGCUGACUGGAUGGAAUUGUUUAGUUUAGGGUUUAAAACCCUAAUGCUGGCUGAAAGGAAAAGUUCAGUUUAGGGUUUAAAACCCUAAUGCUGGCUGAAUGGAAAAAGUUCAGUUUAGGGUUUAAAACUCUAAUGCUGACUGAAAGGAAAAGUUCAGUUUAGGGUUUAAAACCCUAAUACUGACUGAAUGGAAAAAGUUCAGUUUAGGGUUUAAAACCCUAAUACUGACUGAAUGGAAAAGUUCAGUUUAGGGUUUUAAAACCCUAAUGCUGACUGAAAGGAAAAGUUCAGUUUAGGGUUUAAAACCCUAAUACUGACUGGCUGGAAAAAGUUCAGUUUAGGGUUUAAAACCCUAAUGCUGACUGAAAGGAAAAGUUCAGUUUAGG
rnacentral:lncRNA from 1 species